rnacentral:rRNA from 1 species
UGAUUCCUCGGGCGCAGCAGUAGGGAAUCUUCCACAAUGGACGAAAGUCUGAUGGAGCAACGCCGCGUGAGUGAAGAAGGGUUUCGGCUCGUAAAGCUCUGUUGGUAGUGAAGAAAGAUAGAGGUAGUAACUGGCCUUUAUUUGACGGUAAUUACUUAGAAAGUCACGGCUAACUACGUGCCAGCAGCCGCGGUAAUACGUAGGUGGCAAGCGUUGUCCGGAUUUUUUGGGCGGAAAGCGAGUGCAGGCGGGUCAAUAAGUCU